AUUGAACGCUGGCGGCAGGCCUAACACAUGCAAGUCGAGCGGAUGACGGGAGCUUGCUCCUUGAUUCAGCGGCGGACGGGUGAGUAAUGCCUAGGAAUCUGCCUGAUAGUGGGGGACAACGUUUCGAAAGGAACGCUAAUACCGCAUACGUCCUACGGGAGAAAGCAGGGGACCUUCGGGCCUUGCGCUAUCAGAUGAGCCUAGGUCGGAUUAGCUAGUUGGUGGGGUAAUGGCUCACCAAGGCGACGAUCCGUAACUGGUCUGAGAGGAUGAUCAGUCACACUGGAACUGAGACACGGUCCAGACUCCUACGGGAGGCAGCAGUGGGGAAUAUUGGACAAUGGGCGAAAGCCUGAUCCAGCCAUGCCGCGUGUGUGAAGAAGGUCUUCGGAUUGUAAAGCACUCUAAGUUGGGAGGAAGGGCAGUAAGUUAAUACCUUGCUGUUUUGACGUUACCGACAGAAUAAGCACCGGCUAACUCUGUGCCAGCCGCCGCUGUAAGAC
rnacentral:rRNA from 1 species